rnacentral:lncRNA from 1 species
GGCAAAUUCUACUGUAAACCGCACUACUGUUACCGACUGUCUGGCUACGCGCAAAGGAAGAGGCCAGCGGUGGCGCCACUGUCUGGAAAGGAAGCCAAAGGACCCCUGCAGGAUGGCCCCACCGCAGACACAAACGGACUGGCCAGCGCCGCCACCAGCUCAGCCGAGAGAAGUCCAGAUUCUUAACUAUAUAGCCCCGGCUAGAACUGGAUAUUUGGACGAGGCUUGCCUCAGAGUCACAGAGGUCCGCCCACCUCUGCCUCCCAAGUGCUGGUAUCAAAGGGGUAUGCCACUGUGCCCAGCCGCCAAUAUAUCUUCCACAGCCAGGUACAAACUCAAAUAAAAAUGAAAGAUG